GCACCCGUAGCUCAAUUGGAUAGAGCGCCUGACUACGGAUCAGGAGGUUAGGGGUUCGACUCCUCUCGGGCGCACCA
rnacentral:tRNA from 1 species